rnacentral:rRNA from 1 species
UGAGGAAUAUUGGGCAAUGCCCGCAAGGGUGACCCAGCAACGCCGCGUGGAGGAUGAAUGUCGUAAGAUUGUAAACUCCUGUUAGAGGGGAAGAAUAGUACCGGUUGGACCGGUAUAUGACUGUACCCUCAGAGAAAGCCCCGGCUAACUACGUGCCAGCAGCCGCGGUAAUACGUAGGGGGCAAGCGUUGUUCGGAAUUACUGGGCGUAAAGGGCGUGUAGGCGGCCCGCUAAGUCAGGUGUGAAAUUCCUGGGCUCAACCCAGGACGUGCACUUGAGACUGACGGGCUUGAGUCCGGGAGAGGAUGGUGGAACUCCCAGUGUAGAGGUGAAAUUCGUAGAUAUUGGGAAGAACACCCGUGGCGAAGGCGGCCAUCUGGACCGGUACUGACGCUAAGGCGCGACAGCGUGGGGAGCAAACA